UCAGGAUGAACGCUGGCGGCGUGCCUAACACAUGCAAGUCGAACGGAGAUUUGACGCUGCAGAGACUUCGGUCAAAGCUUGUUAAAUCUUAGUGGCGGACGGGUGAGUAACGCGUGGGCAACCUGCCUCAUACUGGGGGAUAACAGUUGGAAACGACUGUUAAUACCGCAUAAGCGCACAGUAUCGCAUGAUACAGUGUGAAAAACUCCGGUGGUAUGAGAUGGGCCCGCGUCAGAUUAGCUAGUUGGCGGGGUAACGGCCCACCAAGGCGACGAUCUGUAGCCGGACUGAGAGGUCGGACGGCCACAUUGGGACUGAGACACGGCCCAAACUCCUACGGGAGGCAGCAGUGGGGGAUAUUGCACAAUGGAGGAAACUCUGAUGCAGCGACGCCGCGUGAGUGAAGAAGUAUUUCGGUAUGUAAAGCUCUAUCAGCAGGGAAGAAAGGCUCGAAAGAGAGAUGACGGUACCUGACUAAGAAGCCCCGGCUAACUACGUGCCAGCAGCCGCGGUAAUACGUAGGGGGCAAGCGUUAUCCGGAUUUACUGGGUGUAAAGGGAGCGCAGACGGUCAAGCAAGUCUGAAGUGAAACCCCACGGCUCAACCGUGGGCUUGCUUUGGAAACUGUUUGACUAGAGUACUGGAGAGGUAAGCGGAAUUCCUAGUGUAGCGGUGAAAUGCGUAGAUAUUAGGAGGAACAUCGGUGGCGAAGGCGGC
rnacentral:rRNA from 1 species